rnacentral:lncRNA from 1 species
AUGGAACCCAAGGACCAACGGGAUCAGCUGGUGUCAAAGGAGACAAGGGAUCAACAGGGGCUUUGGGGCAGGAGGGAGUUGCUGGUCUCGAUGGGUCCAGUUGGACUGAGGGGACCUGAGGGCCCAAGUGGACAAAGAGGAAUAUCUGGUGAUAAGGGGAACCUUGGACGUCCUGGACAGAGACGGCCAAAGGGAGCUGAAGGCGACACAGGCAAUCAAGGGCCACAGGGAACAAAGGGGUCACCAGGGAAACAGGUGAGUGAAGUUGUUUUGAUAAAAAUUGUAAUACCUUUUGUGUUUCAUUUUACAAGGUUAUUUACUCAGGGCAAUGCUGUCUGCUUUUCGGUCUACCGUGUUUUGUAG